AUGUGCCAUCGUACACUCCAAUUCUGCGUGCGCCGCCACGCCUACCUGACGAAUGUGCGGGAGGUUCUGUUAGCC
rnacentral:sRNA from 1 species